rnacentral:rRNA from 1 species
UACAGAGGAUGCAAGCGUUAUCCGGAAUGAUUGGGCGUAAAGCGUCUGUAGGUGGCUUUUUAAGUCCGCCGUCAAAUCCCAGGGCUCAACCCUGGACAGGCGGUGGAAACUACCAAGCUGGAGUACGGUAGGGGCAGAGGGAAUUUCCGGUGGAGCGGUGAAAUGCGUAGAGAUGUGGAGGAACACCGAUGGCGAAGGCAGCCUCCUGGGAUGACACUGACGCUCAUACACGAAAGCGUGGGGAGCAAACAGG